GAUGAACGCUGGCGGCGUGCCUAAUACAUGCAAGUCGAGCGAACAGACGAGGUGCUUGCUCCUCUGACGUUAGCGGCGGACGGGUGAGUAACACGUGGAUAACCUACCUAUAAGACUGGGAUAACUUCGGGAAACCGGUGCUAAUACCGGAUAAAAUAUUGAACCGCAUGGUUCAAUAGUGAAAGAUGGAUUUGCUGCCACUUAUAGAUGUAUCCGCGCCGCAUUAGCUAGUUGGUAAGGUAACGGCUUACCAAGGCAACGAAGCGUAGCCGACCUGAGAGGGUGAUCGGCCACACUGGAACUGAGACACGGUCCAGACUCCUACGGGAGGAAGCAGUAGGGAAUCUUCCGCAAUGGGCGAAAGCUUGACGGAGCAACGCCGCGUGAGUGAUGAAGGUCUUCGGAUCGUAAAACUCUGUUAUUAGGGAGGAAGAAAUGUGUAAGUAACUAUGCACGAAUUGACGGUACCUAAUCAGAAAGCCACGGCUAACUACGUG
rnacentral:rRNA from 1 species